rnacentral:rRNA from 1 species
AUUGAACGCUGGCGGCAUGCCUUACACAUGCAAGUCGAACGGCAGCACGGGUGCUUGCACCUGGUGGCGAGUGGCGAACGGGUGAGUAAUACAUCGGAACGUACCUUAUCGUGGGGGAUAACGCAGCGAAAGCUGUGCUAAUACCGCAUACGCCCUGAGGGGGAAAGCGGGGGAUCGCAAGACCUCGCGCGAUUAGAGCGGCCGAUGCCUGAUUAGCUAGUUGGUGGGGUAAAAGCCCACCAAGGGGACGCUCAGUAGAUGGUCUGGGAGGACGAUGUGCCACACUGAGACGUGGACACGACCCAGGCAGCUGCGGGUGGCAGCAGUGGGGAAGUUUGGACAAUGGGGGCAACCCUGAUCCAGUCAUGCCGCGUGAGAGAAGAAGGCCUUCGGGUUGUAAAGCUCUUUUGUCAGGGAAGAAACAGCAGCUCUAACACAGUUUGCGAAUGACGGUACCUGAAGAAUAAGCACCGGCUAACUACGUGCCAGCAGACGCCGUAA